UCGGUCCAUGUCCUCAUGGUCUCUAAUGCACCUGUGAGUAAAGUUACAGGAGAGUUUUUUCCUUGUGUUUAACCUGCUUUCAUUCUUCGCAAGUCUACUUAUUAUUAAUUUUAUAUCUUGUACUGUCAAAUAUAACUUUUAGUCCUUCACAUGUGUAAAAACAUACUACUUAGUUUGGGACUGUAAUAUUUGUUAAUAUUUGGGAUUGUAACUUAUUAAACUUUAUAUAUGUGUA
rnacentral:misc_RNA from 1 species